UGAACUCAUGAGAAUUUUGUGUACAAAACAAGCCCAGAACGUGCUACAAUAUAGUAACCAAACCCACUACUUCAAACUCGAAUCACGAAGCCUAAGCCUCUUUACGAUCAGGGCCAAAAUAGACUAAAUUAUCCUAAAAAAGUAAAAUUUUUCAGAAGAAUUUUAAUUCAUUCGUGCCUGUUGGUGUGCAUUGCGAAUGUCGCUCUCGAGAGGAGGAAUUUCAGUACAUAAUCCCUUGUUUUCACGGGGAGACAAGCAUGAAACAUUGUAAAAUAUAAGGCCAUAUCUCCAUUAUGUUAGAGAUAUUUCACAGUAACAUGUUUGAAAUGUUUUAAAGAUCAAUCAAAAUCAAUCUCAGGGGAAGCGGUCCUCCGUAACUCUGAUCCCGUGCUGGAAGGUUUAAUUAAUGCUGUAAAAUUUAAGGCAAUGAGCAAAAAUUGCUAGCUUGUUGGCUUUCUCUUCCGUUUGGUGUUUCCACAAGACAAUUCGCAUCUUUAAAAUGUCGGCAAACGUUCAUAUCUUUUAGCAUUUGUUUGCGCAUUCACAAAAAGUAGAUCAGUGAUUAUGCUCGCACAAAGGCUGUUUUUAUACUGGAGGACGCGUUAUCCGUCUGAACGAA